GAUGAACGCUGGCGGCGUGCUUAACACAUGCAAGUCGAACGAGAAGUGAAGACGGAAACCUUCGGGCGGAAGGCUUUAUUUCGAGUGGCGGACGGGUGAGUAACGCGUGGGUAACCUGCCUCAUACAGGGGGAUAACAGUUGGAAACGACUGUUAAUACCGCAUAAGACCACAGCACCGCAUGGUGCGGGGGUAAAAACUCCGGUGGUAUGAGAUGGACCCGCGUUCGAUUAGCCAGUUGGCGGGGUAACGGCCCACCAAAGCGACGAUCGAUAGCCGAUCUGAGAGGAGGACCGGCCACAUUGGGACUGAGACACGGCCCAAACUCCUACGGGAGGCAGCAGUGGGGAAUAUUGCACAAGGGGGGAAACCCUGAUGCAGCGACGCCGCGUGAGUGAAGAAGUAUGUCGGUAUGUAAAGCUCUAUCAGCAGGGAAGAAAAUGACGGUACCUGAGUAAGAAGCCCCGGCUAACUACGUG
rnacentral:rRNA from 1 species